UUUCUAAAAAAAACUAAUAAUCAAGCUUUUUAUUAGUAUAUAUUCAUUGUACAAAGUAAUGACUAUCGUAAAGUCAUUUUUCAAUAUGCUAUGUGUUCUGACUCUGACCACAUUCACUCGUUACCCUCUUCUGCCCUCUUUUAUGAGCCAUCUCCUCUUUGAAAUUAAUCCCCCUUCUUCUUGUGUGUGUGCCUGAUGACUAAGUGAAACGGUGCUGAUGUAAUCUUAGAAUCUAUCCCCCUGUAGGAACCCACAAAGUAACACUGUUAGUAGUGUUAGCGCUGUUGGUUUUAACACAGUGCAGUCGUACAGCUGGGAACGUGCUAAGAGGGCACUGGUAGAGAAUGUUAUACUAACUGAAGGUAAUAAAGGCAAGAUGCAAGACCUUCCUACUGGAAUUCCUCUCUGACUGUUUCUUUAGGCUCAGCAGGACACUGCCACACCCUUAUAUCUGUGUCCUACCAAUCCUAUCUGUUCAAACCCACCACCAAGCUGGUAAGAAAAUAUUAUACUUUAAUUUUGUCUGAACUAAAACUUGGCUCUAGCCUGCACAUUGAAAAAUAAUAGUUUCACAUGUAUCAUGAGAAAUAUAACCCGUAGAAGAGAAAUUUUGUUGUAAGAAGUGCUUCUCAGAGAUGGAAACAGGCUAUCAAACUGGCUGCUGAGUACCAGGAUCUCAGGCAUACUCACCAAACGGGCUAGUUCAUCAGCAGCACGGAGUCAAGAAGGUCUCGGGGCUUUUUGGAUAGAGUUUUUUUUUUUUUCUUUUAAGAAAUUUGAAAUCUACCAUUAAACUUUUUCCAGUUUCUAUUAUGAGGGUCAUUCAAUACAGAUCUUAUUUUAUGAUAUCUAUAGCAGUGCAACAAAAGAUUUGCUUCACAGUGAACCAAACUCAGACAACUGUAAUAUUUCCCAAUAGUAUAAUAUAUAGCCAUACCAGUCUAGAGAUCCAAAGUCUAAUGAAAGAAGCAGCUAUUGACAACAACUGUGAAAUUCAUUAAUAGUGCUUAGUAUUUCAUGGGUUUAAAAAUACCUCUCCCUCUCCCUCUCCCACAACUGAAAUUAUAUAAAAUGUUUAACAAAGUUUUCUGCUCAGCUAAGUUGGCAGGAGAACCCAUCAGAGACUGAGCCACAGAAGGUGUCUCUAUAAAUCCUGACACAGUGAUACAGGAAACCAUCAUGAAUAAUCUGAGAAUGGUCACAUUUUAGAUCUCAAGAAUAUUCACUCACAUUAAACUGCAUAAUAUAACUAAAAGAAAAAGACUGGCUCAGUGAAGCAAGUAGUUUAUAAAGCGAAAUUCCUGAGGGAUGGACACAGCUGCCCUCACUCAGGACUGAUGUGAAGAAAGCCAACAGUCUUCAGUGUUAGCUGGGGCUCUUAAAUGUUACUCACAUGGAAAGCGUGUCUCCCUAUAUAAAAGCUAUAACUUGCAAUCUAACAUCCAUAUACUUUUUAAUCUAGAAAAUUUGAAGCACAUGAUUUGCAACAGGAACGAAGCCACUAAUGUUUCACUUUGUGUAUCAGAAUCAAAGUCCUUCAAGCUGAAUCUGGUUGGCUGUAUAAUAUUUCAACCAAUCAAAGUCCAAUAUAAACAAAAUAACCAUUAUGUAAUUGUGUGUGGUUAUGACUGGUUCAUGAGGAAAGAAUGUCACACACAGAGCUUUUCUCCUGAAACAGUUUCCCAGUGUGCCCUGACAAGUAUUUUGGUAAUCAUGUCAAGGACGGAGAAAAGCCAGACUUGAAAAGACACUGGGACAGAUGAGCACCCACAGAAUUCCCUCUUUACAAGAUUGAGGAGUGGGUCUCCAUGCCUGUAAACAUUAGACAGCUCAGAACAUCUUUUCUGCUUCCUGUUUCUUUCUAGUUCCCAUAACCUGGGAUCCUGGGUACAUUUUUCCAAAUCUAUAAUCCAUCCUCAAACCCAGCUAAACUAUUCCUGUCCAUGGUGGGGACAAGUACAGAAGCAGUCUGUUCCUGCUUGGGAAGUAAAAGUCUAUAUUUGAAAAUAAUUACUGGUUCCCCAAAUAACUAACUGGUCCUGUUAUUGUUGCUAUUGCCAAGGAGACAGACAUCACACAGGAGAAUCAUGGCACGCUGCCAAUCAUGGAGAACACACAGCUUCUGUAAGCUGAAUGGACAACCGGUGAAAAUGAAGUCGGACCAUACUUCUGCUUAUUAUCUAGUAUGUAUUUUGUAGUGUUAUAAAAGCCAGAUUAUAUUGAAAUUUGCAGGUAUUAUGUAGUAAAUGGAAGGAAUUUGUUUAUUUGCUAAUUGGUUGAUAUAUAUAUAUAUAUGUGUGUAUAUAUAUAUAUGUGUGUGUGUGUGUAUAUAUAUAUAUAUAUAUACACUGAAUUGCUAAUUUAUUAUUGUAACCUUUAUGAUAACUUUGUUCUGUUCCUCCAAAUGACCCUGGGCUUCCCUUGGCUCAUUCAAAAUGUGUUAUCACCCCUGGGAAUAUUCACAAAGAAGUCUACUGCAGCAUGCAAUACAGAAAUAUGCAUUUUCAUGUUUAUUGUACAUCUAUUUAUAACAGCUAAGCUAUGGAAUACUGCCUACACUGCCCAUCGAAUUAGCAUUUAAAAAGUGGGAUGUAUAUACGAUAGAGUUUUAUUCAGGCAUAAAAUAAAUUAUGCCGUUUUCAGAAAAAUGGAUGGAUGGUAGAUUGCCAAAUUAAGUGAAAUAUGACAGAAUCGGGAAGAUAAAUAUGUAUAUUUGCUAAUAUAAUAGAUUUGUAUAUGUGAAAUCUACAUUUAUAUAUAUGAUAUGAUGUUAUGAUGUAUACAACACAUAUGUAAUAUAACACAUAGUCACACAAACACAUAUAACACAAAAGUAAAGAGGGGGUUGUUUGGACAGAGGAAAAAGCCCACAUACUGUUGUUCUGGGGAGAUGUAACCCACACACAUAGUCACCCCAGAUCAGAGACCCAUGACAGACCAAAGUAUGGAUACCAUCAAAGUCCAACUUGGUGAAGCCUGAGUCAUUUUUAUUGGGGUUACUUAUAAAGCAGGAAUGACUCAAAGACAGCUGCAUCACCAAAGCCUACACCCAGCAUGGGUGACACUCACAAAGCCGGGAACCUGGAGCUCAGCCC
rnacentral:lncRNA from 1 species